AACGCUAGCUACAGGCUUAACACAUGCAAGUCGAGGGGCAGCAUGGUCUUAGCUUGCUAAGGCCGAUGGCGACCGGCGCACGGGUGAGUAACACGUAUCCAACCUGCCGUCUACUCUUGGACAGCCUUCUGAAAGGAAGAUUAAUACAAGAUGGCAUCAUGAGUCCGCAUGUUCACAUGAUUAAAGGUAUUCCGGUAGACGAUGGGGAUGCGUUCCAUUAGAUAGUAGGCGGGGUAACGGCCCACCUAGUCUUCGAUGGAUAGGGGUUCUGAGAGGAAGGUCCCCCACAUUGGAACUGAGACACGGUCCAAACUCCUACGGGAGGCAGCAGUGAGGAAUAUUGGUCAAUGGGCGAGAGCCUGAACCAGCCAAGUAGCGUGAAGGAUGACUGCCCUAUGGGUUGUAAACUUCUUUUAUAAAGGAAUAAAGUCGGGUAUGGAUACCCGUUUGCAUGUACUUUAUGAAUAAGGAUCGGCUAACUCCGUGCCAGCAGCCGCGGUAAUACGGAGGAUCCGAGCGUUAUCCGGAUUUAUUGGGUUUAAAGGGAGCGUAGAUGGAUGUUUAAGUCAGUUGUGAAAGUUUGCGGCUCAACCGUAAAAUUGCAGUUGAUACUGAAUAUCUUGAGUGCAGUUGAGGCAGGCGGAAUUCGUGGUGUAGCGGUGAAAUGCUUAGAUAUCACGAAGAACUCCGAUUG
rnacentral:rRNA from 1 species